rnacentral:rRNA from 1 species
AGUGGCGGACGGGUGAGUAACACGUAGGUAACCUGCCCCAAAGCGGGGGAUAACAUUUGGAAACAGAUGCUAAUACCGCAUAACAGUUCGAAUCGCAUGAUUCAAAUUUAAAAGAUGGUUUCGGCUAUCACUUUGGGAUGGACCUGCGGCGCAUUAGCUUGUUGGUAGGGUAACGGCCUACCAAGGCUGUGAUGUGUAGCCGAGUUGAGAGACUGAUCGGCCACAAUGGAACUGAGACACGGUCCAUACUCCUACGGGAGGCAGCAGUAGGGAAUCUUCCACAAUGGGCGCAAGCCUGAUGGAGCAACACCGCGUGAGUGAAGAAGGGUUUCGGCUCGUAAAGCUCUGUUGUUAGAGAAGAACGUGCGUGAGAGCAACUGUUCACGCAGUGACGGUAUCUAACCAGAAAGUCACGGCUAACUACGUGCCAGCAGCCGCGGUAAUACGUAGGUGGCAAGCGUUAUCCGGAUUUAUUGGGCGUAAAGCGAGCGCAGGCGGUUUGAUAAGUCUGAUGUGAAAGCCUUUGGCUUAACCAAAGAAGUGCAUCGGAAACUGUCAGACUUGAGUGCAGAAGAGGACAGUGGAACUCCAUGUGUAGCGGUGGAAUGCGUAGAUAUAUGGAAGAACACCAGUGGCGAAAGGCGGCUGUCUGGUCUGCAACUGACGCUGAGGCUCGAAAGCAUGGGUAGCGAACAGGAUUAGAUACCCUGGUAGUCCAUGCCGUAAACGAUGAGUGCUAGGUGU